rnacentral:rRNA from 1 species
GAACUGAAGAGUUUGAUCAUGGCUCAGAUUGAACGCUGGCGGCAGGCCUAACACAUGCAAGUCGAGCGGAUGACAGGAGCUUGCUCCUGAAUUCAGCGGCGGACGGGUGAGUAAUGCCUAGGAAUCUGCCUGGUAGUGGGGGACAACGUCUCGAAAGGGACGCUAAUACCGCAUACGUCCUACGGGAGAAAGUGGGGGAUCUUCGGACCUCACGCUAUCAGAUGAGCCUAGGUCGGAUUAGCUAGUUGGUGAGGUAAUGGCUCACCAAGGCGACGAUCCGUAACUGGUCUGAGAGGAUGAUCAGUCACACUGGAACUGAGACACGGUCCAGACUCCUACGGGAGGCAGCAGUGGGGAAUAUUGGACAAUGGGCGAAAGCCUGAUCCAGCCAUGCCGCGUGUGUGAAGAAGGUCUUCGGAUUGUAAAGCACUUUAAGUUGGGAGGAAGGGUUGUAGAUUAAUACUCUGCAAUUUUGACGUUACCGACAGAAUAAGCACCGGCUAACUCUGUGCCAGCAGCCGCGGUAAUACAGAGGGUGCAAGCGUUAAUCGGAAUUACUGGGCGUAAAGCGCGCGUAGGUGGUUUGUUAAGUUGGAUGUGAAAUCCCCGGGCUCAACCUGGGAACUGCAUCCAAAACUGGCAAGCUAGAGUAGGGCAGAGGGUGGUGGAAUUUCCUGUGUAGCGGUGAAAUGCGUAGAUAUAGGAAGGAACACCAGUGGCGAAGGCGACCAC